CGCUGGCGGCGUGCCUAACACAUGCAAGUCGAGCGAUUCUCUUCGGAGAAGAGCGGCGGACGGGUGAGUAACGCGUGGGUAACCUGCCUCAUACACAUGGAUAACAUACCGAAAGGUAUGCUAAUACAGGAUAAUAUAAGAGAUUCACAUGGAUUUCUUAUCAAAGCUCCGGCGGUAUGAGAUGGACCCGCGUCUGAUUAGCUAGUUGGUAAGGUAACGGCUUACCAAGGCGACGAUCAGUAGCCGACCUGAGAGGGUGAUCGGCCACAUUGGAACUGAGACACGGUCCAAACUCCUACGGGAGGCAGCAGUGGGGAAUAUUGCACAAUGGGCGAAAGCCUGAUGCAAGCAACGCCGCGUGAGUGAUGAAGGCCUUCGGGUCGUAAAACUCUGUCCUCAAGGAAGAUAAUGACGGUACUUGAGGAGGAAGCCCCGGCUAACUACGUGCCAGCAGCAGC
rnacentral:rRNA from 1 species